rnacentral:lncRNA from 1 species
UUGACAUCGGAAGGACAGUAUGGACACUUGAAAGAUUUUGUACCGUUCUUUGACAUCUUCGUAAUAGACUGCUUGCAGAGCACAUGUCCACAUGACAUCAACAUAGGCGGAUUUUCUUCUGUUGAUUGUUCCUUUGAUACUGGACACACAAAUAUAGAAUGGAAAUGAAACUCACGGUCUAACUCCACUGGUACAGGUAACUGCUUCAUAGACUGCCAUUCCAAUCUCUUUCCUGCCAUUACGUUCAUAAACUUGAGAAGAGGUGGCAAACCACGAAUCCCUGCCUCCAUGGUCACACUUAACGGGCUCUUGUAAGACUGACCCAGAAUAUUGCAGAACAGCCUGGUUAGCUCCCCCGUCACUGUGUCCCAAUUGGCUGGUGAUAAUAAGUGAGAAUAUGGGGAGUGCUCAAGCCUUCCAGUCCACAGAAGAGCCCCCAUAAGCUUUUGUAUUUCAACCAUAUGGUUGGAAGCAAACGGAGCAAGACAAGCUUUUGAAUACUGGAGAGCUCUAUCUCUAUUUCCCUUUUGCACUAUUUCAACAAAUUGCAGUCUGUGAAGUUUCAGUAAUAGGUCUGAUCCAUUUGGUUUGAGUUUAUCAGAGUUAAACAUGGCCCAGUUCAGUGCUGGCUCUAGAUUCCGAUGUUUCAUUGCAUCAACUAUCCCAAACAAUUCCUGAAACUGAGAUUUCAUAGCCAAUGCAGAUACUGAUUCCCCAGUCUCACUUGUAAAACAAUCACCAACUUCGAAUAGGCCCUGCCGAUAGAAAUGGCUGCCAAUUAUCUCAUUGACUGUGUGGGUAUCAAAGUCAAUGUUUCUAUAAGCCUUGGAUAUAUCAGGAACGAAGGAUUUCUCCACAAUCUUUGGAUACUUGCUAAGUGCUAGGUUCAGUUCCUUCUGCGUGCUUUCCAACUGACUGAGUGGAGCUAUAUCUUUUAACUUGGCUUUAAGAUCAGCAAGAACAGACUUACAAUCAAUCCGAGAUUCACGAUCAUUAGAUGAUUGUAGCUUCUGUAAUGUCUGCUUGAUUUCUUUGUCGAUCAGAUCGAACACUUCUUGAACUUUAGAGUUUGACAGCUUUUGUUUCUUUGUAACACGAUCAAAUGCAUCUUUAAUGGCUGUCAGCUCCAUUUUCAUUUAUACUACUGUAUCGGUAUCAGCAGUAGUUUGUGAUGAGAAAUGAAGAUGAAAGGAUCUACACAAAAAAGAGGAAAGAGUUUUUGUAAGCUUAAAACAUUAAAGCAUAGUGUACAACUGUAUCUUAUGAAAAUGCACAUGAGAAAUCAAAGGCCUGAUUGGAAACUGCCAAAUACAUUCCUAUACACAGACAUUAAGAAGCAACAUAAAUAAGGUUUGCUUAACUUCACAUGAAAUAGUUUAUUCUCAAAACACGAAUAGAGAAAUACACCCCCAAAAAUAAAAAAGGAUAGGGCUUUUCACAUUUAAGCCCUUGAUUACAGAAAAACAGUUAAAACUCAAUACUUCAGAGAAAAACUUAACUUACUUCGUAACACCAUAUGAAUUUCACAACUAAGAAUCAUUUAGAACAUGACAAGUGGAUAGAUGAGGGUUUUUAUUUUCCUUCACCAAUUGAGCUCUUCAAGUGUUUUUCUAUAAAAUAAAAUAAAAAAACCUUAUAGUUGGGGUGUUUUUCUAAUUUACAAAAUAACGAUAUGGAAGAAUAAUGGGUGUGAAAGUUCACAUUGAUGGCUUAAAGCAAACGAAAUAUUCUUACAACGAAAAUCUUCGGCGAACACAGCUAAUCAGGUGUCACAAAUUUACCCAAAAUGUAGAAGAGUCCCUUGACUCAUUCAAAUGAUAUGGAAAAUUGUAUUUCUCACAUAUUUGGGAUACCAUGUGAUUUAUAAGUGGCUUUAGCCUCCCUAUGCAUUAUUUCCUCCCAACGGGAGAUACAGAUCAACCAUAUGAGUUCGGAGCUAGUUAGGCAUUGGACCUGUGCAGCAAGAGCUAUGGCAUAAGUCAUCUUACACACUAGAACAAACAAAGAUUGACAGUGUAUUUCCAAAUUCUUUCCACAUUUGUCUGUUGCCCCCAAAAACAUACAGCCACCUUAACAUACAAUAAUUUGGAUAUGCAGUGUACAUAAAGUGAAAGAAGUAUGGUAUUUGUGCAAAAUAUAAUGUGAGAGUUAAUUCCCUACACUAAUCGCCUUUCGCGUUAGCAAGGUAAAAAUCAGAGAGCUUAAAACGGGUGAAAAAUCUAAGUCAGUUAAAAGACUAGAAUUAAACACUUGCACUUAAUCAAGCUUCUUCUUGGUUGUUACUGGGAAAUUGUAAAUCAUUUACAGACGUAUUAUGGCAUGGGAAAACUAGAUAUCCUCCCCAGAUUACAAACUGGUUCAAGGGUCAACCAUUUUUUUUUAUUUUAAUAUUUUAUACAGUUAUGUUUUAAACUACUCCAUUCUACAGGGAGAGAGAUUUGAACUCAGAUUCAAUGGAGGGAGCAUACUGGCCAACUAGCCUAAUUCGCAGCGGAAAUCAGCAAUCUGGUAUUAAAAGGGAAGCCUUGACAUACUAAAAGAACCGAAAAAUUCGACAUGCUGGGUCAAAUUUUUUUUGGGUAAUUAACAUAGCACUAAGUAUUACGAUGAUUGAACAGCUACACUGCUAUAUAGAGAAGUCCAAUACAAGCUUGAAGCUUUUUUUUUUUUUCUUUUUGCUUCAGAAAUCAAGCGAUCGAUAAUUCCCUCUCUUUGAGAUUUCAAGUGAUGCAUAUGAAUUAAACUGAUCAACGAAAACUAAAGAUUCAUUGAACAAUUACAUCCGCUAUUACCUUCAAUCUUUCAUCUUUUCUAACCUGCACAAUUGAAAGAAAUUUUAUAUUUCUGUGCCGUGAGGGAGAGAGAGAGAUACCUUGAGAUGAGUUCGAAGUUGGGAGAGUAGUAGCGAAGGGUUUCUGCACAUCAGCCGGAGAUGUGGCGAAAGAGAGUUGCAGAUCGGCGAAAGAGAUGGCGAACAUGUGUGAUUUAGGUUUUGUCAGUUAAAGUUCUAGGGCUCGAUUUUGUAAGAACAAUGAUUAUAAAGGGUAACACGCUACCAAAACUCUGUUUUAUUUUUAUUUUUCUACUCUUAACAUUCCGUAUCGAUUAAUAGAAUUUCGUGUUUAUAAUCAAAAUUAUUCAUAUUAUAUAUUAUUUUUUCAAAAAAAAUCAUCUUUGCAAAAAGAAAAGAAAAAAAAUUAAAUAAAACUAAAGUCGUUUAGUCAAUAACCUGUAACAAAUAAAUAGACGUUUUAUAAUGCUUUUACUAAAUCCGUCCAAUUGUUUUUAUAUAGUUCGAUGACUAAAUUUUUAAGAUUUUAUUGAUAAUAAAAACUUUACAUAGUGCUUUAUAAUAUUAACAGUUCCGAUAAUAGACACAAAGUUUUGUAAUUCACUCACGAAGUAUUUCAAGGAGGAACGCCAAGUUAAUUCCUUUUUCUUUGUUUACCCUUUUUCUGCUUUUUGUUUGUUAAAAAAAAAUAUUUGUUUGAUCUUGGUAACUUGUAAAUAAAUCAAAGGAUAUAAGCCUAGGGGUGUUUUUGGACGGAUCGAACCGGAAAUAACACUUUCAAUUCUCGUUUCAAAAUUUUGGAACGGGAUCGGAUUUUCAGAAUCGGAGUAAUUCUAAUAAUUUUAAAAAUUCACAUCAUUUAUAUUUUUUGAUAUUUCUUUGGACUUUCUCAUACAUGCAAUUUGUUGUAUUUUCUUAAUAUUUAGUGCAUACUUAAUGUAUAAAUUCAAUUAACGUUUUGGUAUACUAGUAGGUUUAUCCUUUUUUUAAUAUAUAGUAAUAUUUGCCUACACACUUUGUAUGUAUGAACAUAUUUUUUUAGAAAAUAGGAAGGAGAGAGGGAGAGAAUGAGAAUGUGGGGGGAGUGAGGUUUUUUUUUUCUUUUUUUUUAAAUAUUAGAAGUAUUUUAACAUCAUUUGUAGAUGAGACUUUAAUAAAAAAAAGUAAAAUUUGAACCUAUGAAAUUACAUUAUUACCCAUCAUUUUUUUUUAGGGAUAGAAGACUAAUUUAUCUUUUUACCCUCUUUUGGUUGACAAAGAUGAUUUUAUUAAUUAGUAGAGAUAAAUAUGUCACUCAGUACUACGGUCUGAUAAUAUUCCUGGUUAUAGUUUACAUGACCCAAACGACGCAGCUUUGUAAUAUCGGGUCAACAAUUGAGCCCCGAAGCCUGAUGAGCACAUUAGAGUUUACAUGACCCAGCAGGAGACAGAUAGAGAAGUAUAACUUACUCAGAAGGAUGAGGCAGCAUGCCCUUGUCUUGGGGUCCAGAUCAUGAUGCAUUCAAAUUAGCCCCAGGGGAAGUGGAUUUCUUUAACCGCCGGCCAGUAAAAGGAAUUUUCUGUUUACAACAAAUGCUUCAACAAACCAAACAGACCGGCUUUUGACACUUUUGACACGGCACCAUAACCACAUAUCGUAACUACACAACACAGCAUGACUAGUUUCUACAAGCCUAAUCCAGUGAGAGGAGAAACACGGUUGCAACUAGUUCCUUUUGCAGAUGCAUCAGAAAACAAGCGGCCUACACUGUGCGGAAUUGACGUCUGAAGGACAGUAUGGACACUUGAAAGAUUUUGUACCGUUCUUUGACAUCUUCAUAAUAGACUGCUUGCAGAGCACAUGUCCACAUGACAUCAACAUAGGCGGAUUUUCUUCUGUUGAUUGUUCCCUUGAUACUGGACACACAAAUAUAGAAUGGAAAUGAAACUCACGGUCUAACUCCACUGGUACAGGUAACUGCUUCAUAGAUUGCCAUUCCUGUCUCUUUCCUGCCAUUACAUUCAUAAACUUGAGAAGAGGUGGCAAACCCUGAAUCCCUGCCUCCAUUGUCACACUUAACGGGCUCUUGUAAGACUGACCCAGAAUAUUGCAGAACUGCCUGGUUAGCUCCCCCAUCACUUUGUCCCAAUUGGCUGGUGAUAAUAAGUGAGAGUAUGGGGAGUGCUCA